rnacentral:lncRNA from 1 species
CUGAAACGAGAUCACGGAGGCUGGCCCUGGGCCGGCCCUGCUGCCGGCUCCCUGAGGCCUGGAGGGAUGGAUCCUGGGAGAGGAACCCCGUCCAGGACAAAGCCUGGGGGCUUCACUUUGUGCAUCUACCUGAUGGCACCAGGGCGGCGGCUGGGACAGUGUUUCUGGGUGCGGCUGGGAGGGUGUUUCCGGACGCGGUGACCCCCGUGUGCUGGGCGUCAUCCAAUCCUCUGACGGCCUGAAGGUGCCGCGGUGGAGGAAGGAGGAAUCGCUCCUGCUCGCCUGCCUUCCUUCCUGCUUGCUCCAGGACGCCUCAUCUCACCGUCUCUGGACCAAGGUCUGGAAUUUACACCAACCUCCCUCAGAGUCGGGUUGACUGACACCGCAGGCUUUCCUGGGUCCCAGAUGGCAGAUCCCGAGACCUCUCAGCGCCUGUCACCGCGAGAGCCAGCUCCUCACAAUAAAUACGUAAACCCAUGUAUGGGUGGGGCAGAGAGACCCUAAGCAUUUCCACACCUGCCUUGAGUGUGUCUGCAUCGUCGUUUUGUGAUAUACAUUUCGCCUGCAGUAAGUGCAAAGGCCACCAUUCCUGAGACGCAGGCCUGGGCAAAACCCAGGACUCCUAGGUGCCCCGACGCCCCUCCCCAGACAAUGCUCCCUCCCACCCACAAGGUUUCCUGGGAGCAGCCGUCGAAAGAAGAAAAAAACAGUCCCGAUGGGGGCUGAGGGCAGAGGAGGCCCAGCUGGCCGUCCUCCAGAUUCCCAUGCUGCCAACAGCUGCCCUCCGGACGGACAGCUCUGCCAGGGACGGUGCCCAGACAGAGGGCAGCGCGUCUUUCUGGGACUGAACCGACGCCAAGCAUGCGUGUCACUGAGCCCAUGUAACAGAGAGCGGCAGGCGAGAUACAGGCGUGCACCCCGGAGAGGACAGGCUGAGGACCCUCAACAGAGACAGGAAAACCUGCCCGUCACUGAGAAAUGGUUGGAAAAAACAUGAGUAAAAGCCUCACUCUUAAGAAUCCUGGAAGAGUAGCAUACGAUUCAGGCGGGAUAAAGAUGUUUUGGGAGAAAAAAAUCGAGCAUCACGCAAGACACCUGCAGAACGAGGACAUCAGGGUUCGCAGAAGCGCUCUGAACAAGCUCCGCGUGGGAUGGGCUGAGCAGCUGGAGGGGAGGAACAAGAUGCUGCAGGGCCCAGGGAGAUGCCCAGACAGGGUCCCGGAGGCCACUGAGUCCCUCCACACCAAGGACAAGAAGGCGGCCUGAGGGCCCACGAGCUCCAGACUCUGCAUGAGCUUCCGGAGGGUCAUGGAGAAGGAACACCACGCGUGGGGUCCAAGCAUCCACGCCAGAGUUCACAGGAUCUUCAUCAUGGAAAUGGCCCGCACCUCGCUGACCCCGUAAUAAUCCCACCUCGGGGUCCACGCUGCAGCAGAGUCCCAGGGUUCUCUAGCGCAUCUCUGGUGCCCAAUAAAACCUAAGUCAAUUGGAUUGAAUGUUUCGUGCUAAAUUUUCUUCCUGUCUUUAAGGUUUCUACAUAGUAAACACUUGCCACAAUGUUACCAACUUACGACAAGCCAUGUAAAGAAACUGCUGCAUCUCAGGGACUCUUCAGCUGCCUGACCACCUCCAAUUUGCAGAUUUAAAUGCAAUUUUAUUUCACCUUUGAUCAAAAUAUGUACAUAAGUUUCAACUUCAGGACAUUCCUUAUACUGCAUAAAGCUUUGUCCUUUUCCAAAAUUCCUUUAAUUAUUUCAUAUUUAGUACCUGAAACAUCUCAGAAAAUUAAAUAUCCUCAUUUUUACACUUGAAAAAGUUCAGGUUUAGAAAGGGCAGCAUCUCCCAAGGCCACGAGGGCUGUUGGAGCCGAGAUUCACC